GCCUUUUAUCUCAGUGGUCGAGCGUUGGCUGUGUAAGACACACGUCGGUGGUUCGAUCCCGCCAGGGCGCA